CUCCAGUCUCUGAGCUGUCAGUACAGAGCCCGACAUGGGGCUCGAACCCACGAACCGCAAGAGCCAGACCUGAGCUGAAGUCGGCCGCUCAACCAAGCCACCCAGGUACCCCUACAAACUCUGACUUUUAUCAUAGUCACAACUUCUAUAAAAAUUCUUAUUCUUCUAAUUUGCGAAGAGCCACGCACUCACACACCCGCUAAGCCUUCACCCUCUGCACUGUUAUUCUCAAUGCCAUCACAGGACAGCAAUUGUAAGGUCAGAAAAUCCAUAGCUUACUGUUUUACAUACCAACACAUACCAUGUCCGAGGUAGUAAACCUUGUGUCUCAUCGCCACAGCGUUUCGGCCGAUUGAAGCAGGGUCUGAGGAAGGACCCCAGAGGCACACAUCUGCACUGCUCUGAAACUCCAGCAAAAGUGCUUUGGAAAAACUCAGGACCGUGUCCGCUGAUCCUUUCCCCAGUAGCAGGCCUGAUGUAGUCUGACCGGUGAUGAAAACCUGAAAGGCAUGAUUUUUCAAAGAUAAGUUCUGCCAGUUCCUGGUGUGUCUCUGGUUUCUUUCCCGUUGUUCUGUGAGGUGAGUUUCCAAAAUCUGAUUCAUCAUGUCAGCCUCACCUGGAAGUGAAAACCAUGGUCUCCAGGUUGUAAACCCCUGUUCAAGAGAGACAGCAUCUAUGUGGGGUGGAGAUCCAUUGUCCAGUGAAAGUCUAGACCAGGACCUUAAGUGGUUGCAAUUAGAAAAUAAUAAUUUUUAGAGCAGUUUUAGGUUCACAGCAAAAUUGAGAGGCAGAUACAAAUAUUUCCCAUAUAGCCCCAGCAUCCCUGGUCAACGUCCCCCACCUGAUGAUACAUUUGUUACAAUCCAUGAACCUACAAUGUCACGUCAUUAUCACCCAAAGUCCACAGUUGACAUUAGAGCUCACGCCUGCUGUACAUUGUAUGGGUUUGGACAAGUGUAUAAUGACAGUAUCCAUUGUUACAAGAUCACACACAGCAGUGUCACUGCCUUGAGAGUCUCAUCCCGGAGCCUGAUAGUCACUGAUCUUUUGACUUUUUAUUGUCUCCAAAGUUGUCUUUCCCAGGAUGUCCUGUGGUAGGAAUCCUACAGUGUGGAGCCUUUUCAGAUUGGACUCUUUCACCUAGUAAUAAGUAUUUAAGCUUCCUCCAUGUCUUGGCUUGAGAGCUCAUUUCUUUUUGAAUAAUCAUUGGAUGGACCACAGUUCACUUAUCCAUCACCUACUGAAAGACCUCUCGGUUGCAUCCAAAUUUUGGCAGUUAUGAGUAAAGCUGCCGUAAAAUCCCCGUGCAGGUGUUUGUGUGCACAUAAGCGUAGAGCUCCUUUCGUGCACACUAAGGGGAGCGAUUGCCAGACCGUAUGCCAAGAGUAUGUCUCGCGAGAAACCACCAAACUGUUCCCAGGUGCUGUGCCAUCUUGUGUUCCCACUGGCUCUGAGCAUCCUCGUUGCUUCACGUCCUCAUCGGCACAUGGUGGUUUUAGUUUCCCAGACUUGGGACGUCGUCAUACGUGUGUGGUGAUAUCAGUCAUUUUAUUUUGCAUUUCCCCGACGGCAUGUGACGGAGAGCGUCUUUUCACGUGCUUACUUGCCACGUGAAUGCCGUCUUUGGUGGGGUGCCCUUUAGGUCUUUGACCCAUUUGUUAAUCUGGUUGUUUGUGUUCUCACGGUUGAGUUGUAAGUCUGUGUGUGUGUGUGUGUGUGUGUGUGUGUGUGUGUGUGUGUCUGUAUUUGGAUGGUACACAAAUACAUGUGGAUGGUCCUUUACCAGACGUGUCUUGUGCAAAUGUUUUCUCCUAGUCUGUGUCUUGUCUCAUUCUCUCGACAGUGUCUUUGGCAGAACAGAAGGUUUUCAUUUUAAUGAUGUCCAGCCUGUCCAUUCUCUCUCAUGGAUUGCACCUUUGGUGUUGGAUCUAAAAUGUCAUCAUCCAAGCUGAGGUCCCCUGGACUUCCUUCUACAUUCCAGGAGUUUUAUAGUUUUGCAUUUUACGUUUGGGUCUGCCAUCCAUCUUGAGUUAAUUCUCGUGAAGGCUGGAAGGUCCAGGUCUAGACUCAUUUCUUUGCAUGUGGACACCCAGUUGUUCCUGUGCCCUUUGUGGAAAAGACUGUGCUCUGAUGUAUUGCCUUUGCUUUUUUGUCAAAGACUAGUCACCUGUAUUUAUGAGGGUCUAUUCUGUUCCAGUAUUCCGUUUGUCCUUUCAUAAAUACCACCCUGUCUCGAUUACCGUGGCUUUAUACGAAGUCUUAAAUGUUCAUUAUUCUUUAACAGUAAUACAGUUCUGUGACUAGUAGUUUUAAAGCCCUGAAGUACCUUUCUUCUAAAUAAUUUAAAUGGUUUCCCUUGUAGUUCUUGUGUUUGUGUUCUCCUUGAGGAAGCUGAAAUACUGAGUCUCUCCUGUGUGUUGCUGGUGCCGGGGGCAGGAUUAAAUACGUGUCACAGCCUAAUCACUGGAGACCAGGUCCCUGACGGGAGGUUGUAGGAAACAUGAUGUGACCCAGCAGCGUGAGGGGCCAGGAGAGGCUGUCAGAUGGAUGUGGCUCAAGUGAAAUGAAGCCGGGGGCGUGAAGCCAGGCGCCCAGUACAAGAGCCAGACGUUCCAACGAAACUCCAAGCAGACACAUCUCACUCCCAGAUUUCCUCCUAUUAUUUACAUAAGUGCUGCGCUUUGACAGAUGCUUUGUCAUCCCCUAACCCUAUAUGGUAUUUUAGGUAGAUGGCAUGAAAAAUCAAUUUUUAACUCUAAAAAAAAAAAAACUUCCUCCAUGCUUUUAUCAGUGAUGAACGCCCCCCCUAAAAUCUAAUAUUCUUUUCCUUUAGAAAAAGAUUUAUUCACCUGCUACCCUUUCUGAACUUCUAAAACGUGAAGUGACAAAUACAAGUCUCAUAAAGUAUCCUGGUUCUGAUGAGCAAGACAGUAGAACUUGAUAGAAAAUCCUGAAUGGGAAGCACAGUAGCAGAACCACUCAGCCAGAAACUCAAACCUGCCAAAACGCUUUGCGAAGGAAGGUAGAGAAGCACUCUUCAGAAGGGGUCUGAACAGUCAGAGGCCGUUCUGCUCUGCAGAAAUGCAAGAAAGACAGAUUAUAUUCUCACGCUUGGAUGUGCCCAACUUCUGCCCAGAGCACCGCUGAGCUACGUGUUAUUUGUAGGCUGAUUCCCCCCACUUAGUUUUAAAGGUGAUCGUAUUUUAAAUACAAGUACAAUUCAUGCAAAACCAUUGUUGAUGUGAGUACCUCUUGCACAUUCAUCCCCGGGGUCUCGAAAAGCCAGGAAAAAAAAAUCUGUGUAUUUGAAGACAAAGAGAGUCAUCCCUCUUUUCAACACAUUCUUCCACUUGUUUCGUGUGUCAGAGCUGUCUCCCUCCUUCUGUAGAAGGAGAAGAAAUGCUAAUUUGUGUACCUCAAUCAAAGAUCGUUCCUCCCAAGCACAUUUGCCAACUGGACCUGAAAGAUACCGUGAACCGAGUGACUCAUGGUGACAAUUAUCAGGCUGGCAUUUCACGCCAGGCCCCUUAGGAGACCUGCUGCUUCAGGGAUCGGCCUCGUGUGUAUAGUUCUGGGCAAGGACGAAAACCCACUCUUUCUAUCGCCAAAAACACCUGAGUUUUUCCACGUGCUUCCUGAAAGUGACCCUUUAACGCACGAUUUGUUUACCACCUUUGUUCUGGAGGCUUCCAGGCGUAUCCAUGGCCCUGCCGGCAUGAACCAGGGUUGGCUGGAAACUCCUCAUCAGCUUCCGGCAGUGCAGAAUUUCAGGUGCGGGCAUACCGUGAUCCAUUCUUUGUGAAGAGUAUCCUUUCAAUUUCUGGUCAAGAAGUGACCUAAAUGUUUCUGGAAGGCAAAUUGCAGAAUUCGGACAUAGCACAUGUCACAAAUACUCCCAGAUAGAGCCGCCUCUGGCCCCAGCGAGCUGCAGGAGAAGCUCCUUCCGGAGCCUGACUCCUGGUCUACAGCUGCCUCACCCACAGGGCUCUGUCCCCCAUCCCCACCCAACCCUCGCACCCGGGGGGACACACUGUCGCAUCACACCGCUUCCAGGUGUCUUUCGGCUUUACUGCCUUGCGUCCGGUGAAUCGGAAGCGUUUGAGACAAAUCUAAGUCAAGUGGUUUCCGAGAACGUGAAGUCAUGGUGCUCUCUGAUGCUUCUUCAUGGUCCAUUUGUCUUUUCAUGGAAGGACAGGUGGCUGUAGGUGAGUGUCUUCCCGCUGGUCUUGACCUCACCCUCCAUGUGACAUAGACCCUGUUCCCCCGUCAGCCGCUGAGACCAGCAGGUGACCCCUCUACACCCUUCCCUAGCUUUGUCUUUCCAUCUGGUUAUUAGUGACUUUUCCAGUUGUCAGCAUCAUCCUGCUCCAACAGCAGUCCCGUGACAUCCGUCCCAUCUCCCCUCUACCCGCCCCCACCUGCCGAGCUUCCCCCACUGGGCAUGGCUGCUGGCAGGUUGACACAGAGCUGCUUGUCCAAACUUGUGUUUGUGCGGCUUCACUCUGUAGGGCAGCGCAAACAGCCCCUGCCUCCCUGUCGUCUUGCGCUUGGCUCCUCCGAUAAAAGACCUCAUUUCGCGGAGUUGUUCCAUGCUACCUGUGCCAAAACAUUACAGUAUGAAAAACUUGCAAGUGCACUUGAAAAUGGUAGAAAUGAAAGCAGCCACCCAAACCUACCACGUGCGAUCGUUCCUCAGAUGAUGAACUUUUGGUGGAAAGCAGCAAUGGAUAUGUGCCAGACCACAUGACACGUAACUAUCUGUGAGUCAAUACACGCAGAGGGAGGCCAAGUUCAGAGAAGCAAAGUUUACCCAACGACAAGCCAGCUAGUUAGUGACCGCUUCUCUUAGUAUGUUGACCAGUUGUUGAAUCGUGCUCAGGGGACUGCAAGUUGAAUGAAACCACGGCCAGAUCCUGCUGAUCGCAUUAUGAUUACAAAUUCGACACGGGUCUCUAGCCAAGUUGUGAACCUCACCUCCCAAGCUGGAUUUACCCUUCCUCACUUUAUUUUCUCCCCUGACACACGCUCAGUGGGGUUUUUGGGCUCGGAGCUGCCCCCGGCCCUGGGAUAGCAUUUCUCUCUCUUUCCAGGCAGUUAAGACCAACCACUUUUGAGAACAGGUUGCUCAUGGCUGUCUUGUCAGCUCCACGGGAGGCAGGGUGGAAGGCGAGUCCGAGGAGCCUGUCCCAGUUCAGACGUUCGUGGAGUUUUGUCGGCUCAUUGCAGCAACAGUGGCACCCAGUAGGUGCACUGUACUUGCAAAGGGAGCAGACCAGUAGGGCAACGCUCCUACGGCCAAGCAGUUCAGAGCUUUCCUUCAUGACUAGCCUGGCAAAAUAGGAAUGAUGAAAGAAAUGGAGUUGCCUCAUUGGAGUUUGCUUUUCUAAGAUGACUGUUAAAUGUGAGGUUCAGGAAGGAAGAGUCGGAAAGACUCACGAGUGGAAAAUAAACUGAGGAUCCAGCUCCACUUUGCACAGUCUGGAGAUAAAGAUGCUGACUAGUGAGGGGUCCCAGGACAGACCUGGACACCGAGCCCGGUCCCCGAAUCCUAAUCGACUUCAUGGUCGUCUUAUAAACAGGCAGGGACCUUGGCUAAGAAAGGGAUGUCUGAGCUAAGAUUUGAUCAUGGGAAGGAUUCAAAGCAGAAGAUUAUAAAGCAUUAAAAAGCAAUAGCAUGGGGCGCCUGGGUGGCUCAUUCGGUUAAGUGGCUGACUUUGGCUCAGGUCAUGAUCUCAUGGUCCUGAGUUCAAGCCCCGCAUCGGGCUCUGUGCUGACAGCUCAGAGCCUGGAGCCUGUUUCAGAUUCUGUGUCUCCCUCUCUCUGACCCUCCCCUGUUCAUGCUUUGUCUCUCUCUGUCUCAAAAAUAAACGUUAAAAAAAAUUUUUUUUAAAAGCAAAAGCAUGGCUUUUGAGAGUAAGUGGUGAGUAAGUCCAUGCAGGUCGGACAGCAGCAGAGGUGGGAGGGGGUCUCUGAAGACUUCUGGGCAGGAACAGCCCACUUUGCCAGGCUCAAACCGCCCCCCCCAACCUCAGAGGCUUGUCCCAAAUCACGUGCAAGGUUCCCCGGGAUCACGUGUGGUUCUCAGCUCUGCCAAGGCUGCUGCUCUGUCCCUGAGCCUUCUCCUCCUAGAACCCAGGUGGAAGCAUCCUUUACCCGGAACACACGAUUCUCAUGGCAAAGAGACUUUCUUUCAGAAGAGCAACAAGUCAAGACAAACCCAACAAAUCAUAUUUUGAGCUUCUGCUCAGGAACGGAGACUGUCACAGAGACUUCCGGCAGGUCCCAGUGCUGCCUGACCACAAGGGAGUGCAUUCCACUGUGGCCACACGACAGGGCGCGGGGGCCUCUCCCCGGGACGGGAACAACGGCGCCAGCCAAAGCCGCUCUAGCCCAAAAACUCAUCAAAUACCUAUCUUCCUCUUUUGCUUUUAAUGUCUUCUCUGGUCAGACUGAUGAAAUAUUAGGAGGGGCUGAUAUUUGUCGUGUCCUUUUUGUCAUCCACGGUGUCAGGUCACGGUGCUCGGGAAGAAAAAAUGUAGCCGAACCGGGUUCUGUAGGUUUGUUUCUGAAACUACGCUAUUUGCAGAAAAAAUUCUCCGAGUGAACUUCUGUCACGUUACUGGCAAUUUGGAAAUGAAGUUCUCAAAAGACAGCUUGACUUUCACACCGCCAACUCGGUUUUUCCGCACCCCCCGAAAUAACACACACCUGUGAUGUCCACCUUUCCUGCUGUGUGCUUGCUACAUGGAGAUCGGCGGACACUGAGCUGUGUCUUUCUGACAGAUUUAAAAUCUCUCCGAGUUUAAACACAGUUUAAGCAGGGGUUGACUCAUACAUGACUGGAUUCACAAUUAGAGCAGAAACACCUGAAGUCCAAGUUUACAAAUUCUUUUUGGAGCAUAUGAGACAAGAAAAAAAAAGGGGGGGUGGUCUUUGACAGGCGCCUGGCAUCUUCCUCAGAGUUUCAUCUCUGCAAAUGCUUUCGUGUGUCAAGAGACUCAGAGGCUUGACAAGCACGAUUCUCACCGGUAACCUAGGAAACAGAAGCAACACUAGCCUUUUUGGCAAUCACUGAAAAUGGAUUUACAUCAAAAAUGUAAAGACUUCUGCUCCUCUUGUGUAAGCAAUUAUACUAAUUAGAUUGAAAAAUCCUGACAUUUCCAAUUAGCAUUUACUACUAAAUGUAUAUCUGCAAAUACAACAGAGGGUAAAUAGCGAUCUGCGAGACCAGAAUAAAUUGCACACUGCCGUGCCACGGGCAUGGAAUUAGUGCAAUGUGUUAACACUAUUAUCCAACUUGUACUAUUUUUGAAUCGCGACCAUCAUUUGUAAAUUGUAAGUGGUGGUACAAAGGGAAGUGAAAUGUCUGAAAGUGAAAUAUGUCAAGUUGGGCUCAAAGCAAUUGACGGGGUGGGGGGAAGGUUUUCUUUCCACUAAUAAGCCUGCAGAAGAUCACAGAACAUGCUAGGUCCCCGUCGACUGUUCACUCCUGAGGGGUCUUUCUCAGGUUUUGUCACCAGUCCCACCCCUGUGUGCCGUGACACAGGAGGCUCAGGGAAGUUGCUGCGGCCUUACGGCAAUCACAACCAAGGGGAAUGGAAAUGUGGCUCACUCCGGACUUAGGGGGAACCUACGUUCAGAUUGCGCUGUGGCGUUCCUCACGGGUCAUACGAGUGUUCCGUUGGGCUUUCUUUGUGCUGUUUGUGCUCUCACUCUGCGAUUUCCCUUUCUGGUUCUGCUCCUAGAGAUACACCUCCUACCACAAUCAGGCAGAGCUCUCCGACAGCCCUUUCCCCGCAACCCCUUCCCUGUCAUUUGCCCACGACCUUCCCCAGAGUUAUUUUGGAUUCCUCCAGCAGAAUGUGGCAUUUGGAUACCCUUCCGUGGAUGGUUGAUUCUCUAUGUGUUUCCCUUAACUUACAAAGUCCCAAGGAACCACACCUGAAUCUAAGCUCACCUGCCCUCACCUACAACAUGGUUUCCAGUCAUAGAGGAAAAAAAAAAAAAAUUCAGUGAAACUACAUUUUUAAAAACUCUGGCUUCCAAAACUGUUCUCAAAAAUAAUCAGACAUUUGCUAUGGUGAAGACUAUGUUCAUUCCUGCAAAAGGGCAACUUGAACAUGGGUUUUGUUAAACAUCUUUUUUUUUUCUUUAAUGUUUGUUCAUUUGGAAAGAGAACGAGUGAGCACAGAGAGAGAGAAUCCCAAGCAGGCUCUGCAGGAACCUGAGAUCAUACCCUGAGCCAAAAUCAAGAUUCGGACACUCAGCUGACUGAGCCCCCCAGGUACCUCAAACAUCUUAAUUUUUGAACCUAACACCCCGCAGUGGUAAGUGUCCCAAUGUCUGCAAGACCAUUGCAGUUAGUUGCCCUGCUGUUCGUAUACACUAGUCUUGGUCUGCUUAGAGGGUAUAGAUAAUUUUCUUCUGGGGAGCGAAUCUUGUCCUUCAUUUGUAUCCCCGACUUUGAGACUUUGUCCCACCCUCACCUCCAGCAAGUACCCCACACCAGGCACAAGCACACACGUGUGCACAGACUCCUCUCAGACACCCUCACACAGCGUGUUUGUCCGGUGUGACUAGGUUAAGUUGCAGUGAUAACACCGGAUCGCCAAGGGUUGAUAGAACUAAGGCACGUGCCUCGCUCACAGAUGUGUCAGUGGCCCGUGGUCCUUUGCUCCAUGCCACACGGUCUUUCAAGGACCCAGGCUCACCGAUGUUCCACUUCCUUUCUGCACCUGGGUGCUCAUGAAGUGGGAAGAGAAGGCUGGAGGCUCAGGAAAAUACAGGUUGCUCUAACUGGAGUUCAUUGGCUGAAACUAGUCGGAGUCCACCCAGCUCCGGGAGAACUGGGGUCAUGGGGAAGUUGAUGGAGUGUCAGAUGGACAGCUGACGGGCCGCUCAUGCUUAUAGCUUCCUACCAAGAGUGUGAGAAGUAUCACCAGGAGAAAUAAGCAAGCUGGGAUGGAAGUCAAAAGAAUCUGCUUACAAUCCCAAAUACCAGAAUUGAAAUGGAUGAAUGGGGGGGGGGGGGGAACCACUUCAUUCUUAGGUGACUCGAUCUCUUCAGGUGUUCAGACUAAUGGGGUAAGACGAGAUCUUAUGCGAGUUUGCCGUGAGUCUGUGCACCUUCCGCCUGAUUCAGAUUCUGUGGCCACCAGGAUAGGCUUAGAUGUGCUGCACUGGACGCCCUAAAACCUCACCGUCUCCGAGCACAGCACUGAUUUCUCCCUCACUUCUCGAGUCCGUCACAGAUGCCAUCCGCAGCAGUGCUGGUCGCCCUCAGAGGGGGAAGAGAAAGUGUGGAAGAUCGUGCACCUGCUCUGACGUUGUCCAUCUCUGCUCAUACCUUCCAGGAUAAGACAAGGCACUUGACUACAUCUACUCUGCCAGGGUACAGACGUGCUCUCUCACCACGGACCCGGGAGAAACCCGGCCAUGGUUGGACUUUUCCUCGAGAGACCUAAGAAAAUCUGAUCUGUAGAGUCCCUGGGAUGACAGCAGCGUGUUCGCAUGAGUAUUUGUGAAUCCCAAUGUUCUCCUGCAUGGACGGGACCAGAAACAUCAGACCACAACUCUGUCCUCAGCACGGCGCCCACCCGAGGGACACCACUUUGGUUUUCUGUGAAUGAAGGACAAGAAAAAAUCAGAUGGAGCAUCGCUUCUCUGUUAAUAGCCUCCAGAUGUUUGUUUUAUACUCUCUUGAAAAAAACAAAAACGAGUGUUUCUCGUAGAAGCCCUUCCAGGUCCCUUGAGCCUGCCCUGGCGAUUUUCCAAAGUUCACUCGAAACACUUGCUUUUUCCUAAUUGCGAUACGCCUUCAAAACCUCCUUCCUGUGUAACCCCGCUCUCACCUUUCUGCUUUGUUGUUUCUUCUUUCUCGAGGGUCAUUUUUAGGAGAUGUGGGAUACAUUGACGUAAACUGACAAAUUUCCAUGCGGGAAAGAGAGAAGAGAAUGAUUAGGGAGGAAUGAUUGUGGCAAAGGCCAUUUAGAGGGAUUGAGGUGGCUUUCUUAGCACUCAGGACAACUGAAUUGUCUUCUGCGACAAAAAUACAAUAUGAAGAUAGUUUAUGCACAUUAAGGGGGGGUAUAUAUGGAUAAAUUGUGCAAAAUGAUGAGCUGUGUUUUAAAACUCAAUUUUGGUCUUUAGUUUUAAUUCCCAAAUUUCUUCAGUAAAAGAUGGCCAAGACAUAAGUAUAGGCAGUGUUUAUUAGGUUUUAAAUGUUUUUUCUCUUGUAUUUUUGCAGAAGAAAGAAAUCGAUAUGCACAAGAUGAAGGGACAAUCACGUAUAACUGUCAAAUUCUCAUUUUCCAUAUUCCUGAAAAGUAACUUUCUGUCACAUGAGUUACAUACACAAAUACGCUCCUGGUAGGAAGUCUGACCGGGAGGAGUUUUUGAUGACAGGAUUUACAAAAGAAAUGAUGACAUAUUGAGGGUGAAUGAUUAUAAUAAUGAAUAAUUAUGUAAUUUUAAAUUAAAAUGAUGGGGAAAAAACGGGCUGCCCCCUUCAGAAUAAUAUAUUUGUUUCCAUAAGGGUCUUACUUGGCAUUUAUCGUUUUGUUGAUCACAAAACUAAUUAAUCUGCUUGUUUACUUAAGAAAAAAAAUUGGACACAACACACCCUAUAUUAGAAGAUUUCAUUAAACAGAUUGUAAAUCUUUA